UAUUCCUACGGGACGAAGCAGUAGGGAAUCUUCGGCAAUGGGCGAAAGCCUGACCGAGCAACGCCGCGUGAAUGAAGAAGGCCUUCGGGUUGUAAAAUUCUGUUAUAAGGGAAGAAAGGUGAUAGGAGGAAAUGACUAUCAAUUGACGGUACCUUAUGAGAAAGCCACGGCUAACUACGUGCCAGCAGCCGCGGUAAUACGUAGGUGGCGAGCGUUAUCCGGAAUGAUUGGGCGUAAAGGGUGCGUAGGCGGCCUGCUAAGUCUGGAGUGAAAGGUACCGGCUCAACCGGUACAGGCUCUGGAAA
rnacentral:rRNA from 1 species